CUUCUCGUCGCUUGCCCUAGUCGGAUUUCCUCCGCAAGUUGCCAUUUCCGACCACGAGCCUGCAUCAUCCCAUCGAUCCGUGCCCUAACUUACAUCACCGAUGCUGUGCUCUGGUUGUGCUUGCCACAGUGCUGAUCAUCGAUCAUCGAUGUCGACAUUCCAGGCGGGCUGGUCGUCACUAGUGAGGCUCUUCCACCACCGUGGGUCGUCGUCUGCCCUAAUGUGAGCUUGACCUUGCCUUGCUGCCCCAAUUGGUCCUCUAGUGGUUAUGGAGCAGCUCCAUCAGAUCAUUGGUGAGGGUACUUGGAUUGAAAAUCCACUUGCAGGUGAAAUGUGAAGGUUUUAGAGCUGGAUUGAGGGCUUUGAUUCAUGGACUUGGAUUCGAGAUGUGCGUCUCGACGUGGGAUUAAUUUGGCAUGAUCGACAGAUAUAGGCGGG